UUCUGAAAUUGUGUUUUUUUUUUCAAAUGGAAGUAAAGUUGUGUGUUUCCUCUUCAGGAAGAGAAGCAAGAAUUUAGAGGUCUGAUUUUAUCAUAGAGAGAGGAACUUACUUUUAUAUAAACAAGGAAACUCUAGGACGACGACGACGACAACGUUAACAUCCUUCUUAUAUUCUUUCUCUCUGUUUUAUUCCAUACCCUAUAAUCAUAAUAUCGUUACCUAGAAUCAUCAAUCAGAUCAGGAAGAAAGAAAGAAGGUUACAAACUCUCUUCAGAUUUGUCUCAUUCAGUUAGUCAUGGCUGAAAUCGAUGAAGGCAAAUCGGAAUCGGAGAAUUUCUCGAUGGAAUUUUAUAUCCAUGAUUACAUACUUAUAUAGGGGAAGGUGACUCAGAAACAGAAAUUGCUUCUCAUAUACCAGUAUGUCCAGUGAUUGUGUUUGUCAAUUCUAGAAGUAGUGGACAACUAGGUGGUGAUUUGCCUAUAACUUACGACAACCUACUAAACAAGCAUCAUGCAUUUAUUAGUUUUCAGCCUGUAAACAGGUGCUUGCAGAUAAGUGGAAAACGACAUUGAUAGUUGUUUUUACUGUUCAUUUUCCUUUGGUUGUCAUCUUUAUAAAAGUCUCUCUUUUGUUGACACCUAUAUCAAAUUGUUCAAGGCUCUCUUGUUGUUCCUGUUGGAAAUUUAAUCUCUUGUCUUUGUUGGGUACUGGAAUUGUCACUUGCCUAAACUCGAGAAAGUCUUCUGUUGUCAACAUUAUAGUAAAAUAUUUUUGAGAAUGUCUUUUUCUGAUCUC